rnacentral:misc_RNA from 1 species
UCAUUCUGCAUCCUGCCGCCUUGCAGAGACAAGAGGGGAGAGCCCUCUCUUUCACUGGCUUCUCAUCAAAGCGUCUUUAUGUACGGUAUUGUUGUACUCCACGCUGCGCUUUCUUAGUUUCCCUUCUCUCCUCAAAUUCAAUUUAGUUAGGUUUCUGUUUUGCUUGCUAUGAGCUCUCUCAACUUGGUUGCUGAGAAAGUAGGGAAAAAUAAAAUCUAAGGAAGCCUGCUUUGUAAUGAAUUGCUUAUCACGUGUUUCUUCCUAUACUGCGGCUAUAUUUGGAAGGGCGGCAAGCCAUUUCAUUUGGCAGAAUACAUCGCAUCCAUGUUCCAUUCCCUUGUGGAAAAGAAGAUUUGAUCAAGCGGAUCACAAAACAGUCAAUUUUGAAUUUUUGUUGCCCAGAUUUCAGGUCCAGUGCUACUCGUCACGAAAAGCUAGUGCAAAAACUCCGCGAAAGAGUAAAUUGGAUCCUGCUCCAACAAUUAUGGAGCAAGAGAAUGAUGCUUUCUUUGUUGUGCGGAAAGGCGAUAUUGUUGGUGUCUAUAAGAGUUUCACUGAGUGUCAAGCUCAAGCUGGAUCUUCAAUAUGCGACCCUCCUGUCAGUGUUUACAAGGGGUAUGCGUUACCUAAGGACACCGAGGGGUAUCUCAAGUCACAUGGGCUGCAGAAUGCUUUGUACACAAUCAGAGCUGCAGACUUGAAAGAGGACCUUUUUGGCACACUUGUUCCCUGUCCGUUUCAGCAACCAGCUUCCUCCAAAGGCGAAACACGCUUGCUGGAUGCCUCAAAAAAGAGAUCACAAGAAUUACUGGAUGUGGGAACAGACAGAUCAGCGUCUGGUUUAACUGACCCCUUGACAAAGCAUGCCAGGUUGGACAGUCAAAGCAAGGCUCAGGCACUGUCUUCUGAUCGUGUAAGGAAUAAGGAUUUCAUGUAGAUACCUUAUAGAUGCAAAUACAUCUUUGUCUGUCUGGCUUAUCAUUUUUAAUAUGUCGCUACUAUAAAAUAGUAAAAGAGGCUCUCUUGAAUAAGCUUGUUAGGAUUAGGCAAUAAAUGGUACUUAGCAAUAGUAUACAUAUAAUGUCUCUGUGAAUUUGAGGACAAUAACAAGCCUGAUCCUCUUUCUGCAGCACUCCUGUGUUCUUGAGUUUGAUGGUGCUUCAAAAGGAAAUCCUGGACCAGCUGGGGCUGGAGCUUUGUUACGGACUACUGAUGGAAGUUUGGUGUGCAUUUUGACUUUUCUGUAUCCCUUAUCUUUUAUUAGUAGUUUCUUCUUUCUAAACCUUCAAUUCAUUGUAGAUCUGCAGAUUGCGAGAAGGAUUGGGCAAAACAACAAAUAAUGUAGCCGAAUAUAGAGCCAUGAUUUUAGGGUUGAAAUAUGCUCUUAAAAGGGGUUAUACGAAAAUUCAAGUCCAAGGUGACUCUAAACUUGUCUGUUCUCAGGUUCAGGGUUUAUGGAAGGUCAAACACCCUAACCUGGCUGAUCUGUACGAGGAGGCGAAAGAGCUGAAGGGCAAGUUUGUUUCUUUUCAGAUCAACCAUGUGCUGAGAGUAUGUACAGUUAUCAUACUUGUAUUUUUGCAAUCAAUGUCCCAUAUCUCGUGUUGGUAAAAUGUGCUUCCAUUUGCUAAUCUAAUAAUUUACAAGAAUCCUUUUUUUCUUUUUAUAUAAAAUGUGGUAAUAUCAGAGUCUUCCUUGGGAAAAUCCUACAUUAAUUAGAUUUCUGAUCAUUCCACUGAUCAAAUGACCCAAUAUUUUAAGUGUGCCUUCCUGUCUGUAAACAUUUGGAUCUGUCGAUUCCUGCAAAAACAUCAAACUUUUCUAGUGCAUUUAUCCGUUCAGCAGCAGCUUCUGGCUAACAGGCAUCUGCAUAUCUAGCAUCAACUGUAUUCUGUUGUGAACCAGUGCAUUCUGUACUGGUGUUUUGCUUUAACUUUCAUUGAGUUUCACAAUUAUGAACUCGAUUAUUAUGCUACUGCUAGUUUGUGCGCAAUUGAGUUUGUUUUUGUUGCAUCUUUCUCUGUUCUCCCUCGUUUAGAUGGAGAACAAAAUGAGGAUUGUGAGCUUGCAAGGCUUGAGUACACUAGUUUGUCUUGUAUAGGUAUGCAACAUUAUUUGAUGUGGCAAAUAUUCAAUCCAACCUGACCUCCCUUUUUGUAGGGUUUAGCGUCUGCUUUAAAUAACCUUAAUACAUAUCGUUGUUGGCUUAUUUUAGGUUUACCAUUAAAGUAAAUAAAUAGACUAAACAUCUGAAUGCAAGUGAAACUGAGGUUUUUAUGAUUCUGCACUGUAAUGUUGUCCAUUCUCUGUAAUGCAAGUGAAGUAGAACCAUUUCUCUGUUGGGGAUUUAAAAGUAGAAAAGGAGCUAUUAUCCUAGAGUUUUAAGAAUUAUCGCUACUAGUAAAGAAGUUGGUUGUGAUUUGCAAAUGAAAGUGUGUGUAAUCCACUGCUUCUGCAGCUUUGACUUGUUGUCUCUUUGUGGACCCUUGACAUGGUCUUGUAUGUGUUCCUCAGGAAUUUAACUCUCAGGCCGAUGCUCAAGCAAACUUGGCCAUCAACCUUGCUGAUGGCCAAGUUCAAGAGGAAUAUGAAUAGCACUUCAUAAUGGAGACUGCAUGGUGUUUUUGGGGGAAUAGUUCACCCAAGUGAUUUUAUUCUUUCAGAGUUGAACCUGGCAGCAGGCUUAGUAACAAGGAGUGCAGCUUAACCUGGCAUCAUUUUCCAUUCUGUCUAAUUGUGCUUGUGCUUGAGAUAUCAACUUCAGUCAUGCUGUAAAGCAGCACGAAGUUGUCAAAUUCACAAGUGCUGAUUUCAUAUCUUUGAAAUAGGCAUAGAUCUAUGAAAUCUCACUCUCACAGAACUUUAUUAUUUAUUCUUUCCCAAAUACAUUACAGCUGGGCAUUCAGACUUGGGAUUAUGUAUAGACAAGUAUAUAAAAUUGUUGGUGAUUGCUAUUAGCUGAUAACAUAGAUGGUUUAUGCCUUUUUUCAAUUUAUUCUUGUAGCAUACGUUAAGGACAUGACUCAUGUUGUUUUUUAAGGAAUGGUCCUUU